GGGGAGUGGAUCUUAAUCCCAUGGUGAUCUGAACCCGGCUGGUUGGACAUACUGCAGCUACUGGGGGACAAGGAUUGCAGGACUGCUCUCCACAACGGGGGUGUUGGUUCCCAUUGUUUCAUUACAGCCCGACUUUUUUACUCCUGCCAUCCAUAAGGACAGUCCAGCCUUGCUCUCGAUGGUGUGACUUGGUGCCCGAUCCCGGUCUGUUUUUCGAUAUGUGUCUUGGUGAGUGGCAUUUAGAUUU